GGAAGUAGCUUAAAGGUAAAGCUUGGUCGUACGUCCUAAAAAGUGAAUGGUAACUUUGAUAUAGGUUCGAAUCCUAUCUCCGUAACCA
rnacentral:tRNA from 1 species